rnacentral:rRNA from 1 species
AGAGUUUGAUCCUGGCUCAGAAUCAACGCUCAGCAGCGCGCCUAACACAUGCAAGUCGAACGAGAAAGUGGAGCAAUCCAUGAGUAAAGUGGCGCACGGGUGAGUAACACGUGACUAACCUACCCUUGAGCAAAGAUAACCUAGGGAAACCUGGGCUAAUACCGCAUAAUACCUUCGGGUCAAAGGAGCAAUUCGCUUAAGGAGGGGGUCGCGGCCGAUUAGUUAGUUGGCGGAGUAAUGGCCCACCAAGACUGUGAUCGGUAUCCGGCCUGAGAGGGCGCACGGACACACUGGAACUGAAACACGGUCCAGACUCCUACGGGAGGCAGCAGUGGGGAAUUUUGCGCAAUGGGGGAAACCCUGACGCAGCAACGCCGCGUGGAGGAUGAAGCCCCUUGGGGCGUAAACUCCUUUCGAUCGGGACGAUAAUGACGGUACCGAGAGAAGAAGCCCCGGCUAACUUCGUGCCAGCAGCCGCGGUAAUACGAGGGGGGCGAGCGUUGUUCGGAAUUAUUGGGCGUAAAGGGUGCGUAGGCGGUUUGGUAAGUCUUGUGUG